ACGGAGGAUAUGAACGCAGUUCCAGUGCAAUUUUUCUCCAUUUAAUUAUUUCACAGUGGGAAUUUAUAGUGAGUUCGAGUGGUUCGAGAGUCUGCCACUAAUUGUACUGCAAAUAUUUUUCGAGCGUAUAAAACCAGCGGUUUUUAGAAGACUGCAAAAUUGGUACUAAUGGUGUAAUAUCAAAAUGCUGCUCGUUCAGACCCAACUCAACGAUUAUUAUUAAUGUACUGAGUGAAUCAAUGGCGGAUUCAAGAAAUCUUGAUAAAAAUAGACGCUGUUUUAGAACGUCAACAAGCCACCAACAAAUCCGUAUAGCAAACAUCAAAACAAGGCUUGACAAUGCCGAGGCAACUCUCUUGCAUUCUACACGUGAAGCACACACAAGUGUAGCGGAAGUCCUCGAACGACAAAUGUACAUAAUAUAUUUAACUCUAGAAUGAUUAACGGGGGUAAUACGUUACCCCAUUUAAAGGUUAAAGUACGGUCUUGGCUAUGGAAAGGUAUAGUUUGGUGCGGUUCCCUAACCAUAAUUCACUUCAACUAUAUGACCUUCGACCUAGGUUAGUGAGCGAGUUUAUUAGUGUUUUUUUGAGUUGUGUGUGGCAUUAAAUAUCGAUUGGGGUAACGCAUUACCCCAGUUAACCAUUUAAGUUCGACAAUUAGAUCGUAAAUGAAUUUCAGUUUUUUAAUUCAAGCGGUUCAAUUACGUAUUUUAAGCAUUCAUUUUAAAAUUGGAAGGGUGAAUUAAAAAAAAAUGGCUAAAAAGAAGGUAUAAUAAAUGUUUGAAUCUGAAGCUUCAUGUAAAGUUUGA